UACGUAGGGUGCGAGCGUUGUCCGGAAUUAUUGGGCGUAAAGAGCUCGUAGGCGGUCUGUCGCGUCGAAUGUGAAAACUCGGAGCUCAACUCCGAGCCUGCUUCCGAUACGGGCUGACUAGAGGUAGGUAGGGGAGAGCGGAACUCCUGGUGUAGCGGUGGAAUGCGCAGAUAUCAGGAAGAACACCGGUGGCGAAGGCGGCUCUCUGGGCCUUACCUGACGCUGAGGAGCGAAAGCGUGGGUAGCGAACAGG
rnacentral:rRNA from 1 species